UAUCUCUGCAGAAAGUUUAGGAUCAGGACACCGAAUGGAGAUCCAGCCCAGAACCAGGAUCCUCCUCAGCCUGGAGAAGAGGUGACCCUCCGUCAGGGUCACAGGGCAAAUAACAAGAAGAGGAGUCAGUACAAAGAGAGGCUGAAUUCAAUCUAUGGUCACAUGUGAGCUGGGAGGCCAUUCAGAUGAAAGUUUGAAAGAUACGCAGGAGAGAGGGAGAAGAAAUUUGAUGGACAUCCUGUUAUUUUUUUUUAGGAUCAAAGCAGGUGUUUAAAAGGAAGGUCAUCAGAGGGAGGACAAAUGUCUUCAUGUUAAGACAUGAAGUUAUUAAAAUCGGCCUUUAAAUUUAUAGCAGUAGGAGAAAUGUAAUAUGUUCUUUUGCAUGAAUGUUUUAAUCGUAGCAUUGCACAGUGAAUGUUGUCAUAAUGACAAUAAAGUUUCCUCAAAUGUGCAUUGUCGAAUUUUGUAACAUAAAAGUCACUUGUGUUUUGUACGUUUCACUUUUUAAGUACAGUUUUGUUUUAAGUUAUUCCAGUGGAGGACAAGUGUGGGUUGCUCUGCUGCUUUACUCAGUGGACACAAGGAAUGAACAAUAUUUAUGCUGUAAUUCUGCUGGCACACCAAAUGCUAUAAAAUGAGAUGGAUUAACGUCA